GACGAGUCUCACGAACGUUAUUCGGAAUUACUGGGCUUAAAGGGUGCGUAGGCGGUGGAGUAAGUCGGAUGUGAAAUACCAUAGCUUAACUAUGGAACUGCACUCGAUACUACUUUGCUAGAGUAAGACAGAGGUGAGUGGAACUGAGGGUGGAGCGGUGAAAUGCGUUGAUAUCCUCAGGAACACCGGUGGCGAAGGCGGUCUGCUGGGCCAAGACUGACGCUGAGGCGCGACAGCGUGGGGAGCAAACAGG
rnacentral:rRNA from 1 species